rnacentral:sRNA from 1 species
AUUAUUGUCCGAGUGGCCGGAACGGGAGCCAACAUGGCAGCGGGUUUCGGGCGAUGCUGCCGGGUCCUGAGAAGUAUUUCUCGUUUUCAAUGGAGAUCACAGCAUACAAAAGCCAAUCGACAACGUGAACCAGGAUUAGGAUUUAGUUUUGAGUUCACCGAACAGCAGAAAGAAUUUCAAGCUACUGCUCGUAAAUUUGCCAGAGAGGAAAUCAUCCCAGUGGCUGCAGAAUAUGAUAAAACUGGUGAAUAUCCAGUCCCCCUAAUUAGAAGAGCCUGGGAACUUGGUUUAAUGAACACACACAUUCCAGAGAACUGUGGUAAGCUUUCUUUAUAUUUUUAAUACUGGAAUGCAUAUGAGUAAGAAAAAUUGUGGAACUCUACUCAGUCAUUUUUUUCAAAUAUUUCUUGCCAUUAAAUGACUUUCUACCAUUGUCUUCCUGCUCAGACUACAGUGUUUGCCCACUUUUGGAAGCUUGCACUCUAUACUUAGAUGCAUUUUUCCUUCUAACUGGUUCCAACCUUAACUUGCACCUAAACCUUGGUAACUUCCAUUUCUAGAGUUGGUCAAUUUGUU